rnacentral:misc_RNA from 1 species
ACGAAUGGCCCUGAUCGGGCCUUCAACCCUCAAAAACCGUGGAAGCAAGCCGUGCUUCGACGCCCCCGUGGCGUCGUAUUUAUGCAACCGACCUGCCUGUGUCUGAAUUGAAUCUAGAAUUA